rnacentral:rRNA from 1 species
CUAGUGACCGAUAGUGAACCAGUACCGUGAGGGAAAGGUGAAAAGCACCCCGGAAGGAGAGUGAAAUAGAACCUGAAACCGUGUGCUUACAAGUAGUCAGAGCCCGUUAAUGGGUGAUGGCGUGCCUUUUGUAGAAUGAACCGGCGAGUUACGAUUUGAUGCAAGGUUAAGCAGUAAAUGUGGAGCCGUAGCGAAAGCGAGUCUGAAUAGGGCGUUUAGUAUUUGGUCGUAGACCCGAAACCAGGUGAUCUACCCUUGGUCAGGUUGAAGUUCAGGUAACACUGAAUGGAGGACCGAACCGACUUACGUUGAAAAGUGAGCGGAUGAACUGAGGGUAGCGGAGAAAUUCCAAUCGAACCUGGAGAUAGCUGGUUCUCUCCGAAAUAGCUUUAGGGCUAGCCUCAAGUGAUGAUUAUUGGAGGUAGAGCACUGUUUGGACGAGGGGCCCCUCUCGGGUUACCGAAUUCAGACAAACUCCGAAUGCCAAUUAAUUUAACUUGGGAGUCAGAACAUGGGUGAUAAGGUCCGUGUUCGAAAGGGAAACAGCCCAGACCACCAGCUAAGGUCCCAAAAUAUAUGUUAAGUGGAAAAGGAUGUGGCGUUGCCCAGACAACUAGGAUGUUGGCUUAGAAGCAGCCAUCAUUUAAAGAGUGCGUAAUAGCUCACUAGUCGAGUGACACUGCGCCGAAAAUGUACCGGGGCUAAACAUAUUACCGAAGCUGUGGAUUGUCCUUUGGACAAUGGUAGGAGAGCGUUCUAAGGGCGUUGAAGCAUGAUCGUAAGGACAUGUGGAGCGCUUAGAAGUGAGAAUGCCGGUGUGAGUAGCGAAAGACGGGUGAGAAUCCCGUCCACCGAUUGACUAAGGUUUCCAGAGGAAGGCUCGUCCGCUCUGGGUUAGUCGGGUCCUAAGCUGAGGCCGACAGGCGUAGGCGAUGGAUAACAGGUUGAUAUUCCUGUACCACCUAUAAUCGUUUUAAUCGAUGGGGGGACGCAGUAGGAUAGGCGAAGCGUGCGAUUGGAUUGCACGUCUAAGCAGUAAGGCUGAGUAUUAGGCAAAUCCGGUACUCGUUAAGGCUGAGC